CUCUUUGCAAGAGGACAGCUGAAGAGGUGUAAUUUAACAGCCUUCAGAAGCCCGUCACUGGAGUGAUUGAGGUGGACAGAAGGCAUGGACAUGACCACGGCUCUUAAAAGACACAAACAGGAUUCUGACAGGAAGGCAUAGAAAUGCAAGCCAACCCUGCCAGCUCUGGAAAUAAAUAAAUAACAAGCCACGUUCUACACUCCUCAAUGGGGGCAGAAGCCUGCGGGCCAAGAAAGCCCACAGAGGAGGAGGGACCCGCCUGCAACUUUUCCCCAGGCCUGGACAAGCGAUGCUCCAAUACUCCGAAGUUCGCAUACUAGAGGCCGCAGUCAUCUUCCGAGGGAGUGGCCCCCUGCUCUGGCUGGUCAAACGGAACCAAGUCCGUCUUCCUGAGAGGUUUGGUCCCCUUCAACCAGCUACAGCAGGGCUGGCAAAGCCCAGUCUUUGGAGAAAGAGAAGAGAAGAGAACUUAGCUGCUACAGCCUUCCUUACAAAAAGCAGUUCUGGUUUUGUCAUCAUCGUCCCGAGCUCCCAGAAAGAAAGAAGAAAGAAAGAAGCCUAGGUCCACAAGAGAUCAUAGGUCUCGUACUCAACAUACAGAAUCCUUUGCCUUUGUUCCUGCAGUUAAAGCCAUGUAUAUACUUUCACAUACACUCACCAAUAAUGUUAAGGAUGGCUCCUAAGCCAACCUUAAGCCAGCCAGGGACAGAAUAUGAUACAUAGGAGAUAGGUCUUCUGCUUAGGAGGACAAAGAAGCAUAAGUAGGGCAAUUGACCAUGGAAAUACAGCACACCUCAAUUGAAUUGCAGGCUAGAACAUGGUUAAUCCAAGAUAUACUUCUUACAUAGUUCACUGAGUUUGCUUGUGACAUUCUAUAUCAUUCUCCAUGAAGCCAAGGGUUUUGUGUACACUGAAAUUAAAAUACACAUAAAGAGGUUAUAAAGCUCCCAGUAGCUGGUACCUGUGGUUAUGGUGAAACCUUGGCUUCCUGUUUGAAUUCUGCCCCUCUUAACUAUUAGGUAUGAUAUCAGUGCAAUCAAAUAGCUGUUACCUCUGUGAAAAAAGGAAGAAAGAAAGAAGGAAAGAAAGGAAGGAAGGAAGGAAGGAAGGAAGGAAGGAAGGAAGGAAAAAGAGAAGGAAAGAAAAGAAAAACAUUUAGUUGCUGAAUUAGUAAAAUUAGUAAAUAGAAUUAGUGACAGUGACCUCAUCACUCCUCUGAUUUUGAAAAGAUAGUGUUUGUAAAUAACCAACCAACCGUACGCAUUCAGGGAACAUGUAUCUUGCUACUAUGAGUGCCAAUAAUACAGUGAUAAUAUUUUA